CGAGCGGCGAACGGGUGAGUAACACGUGAGUAACCUGCCCCCAACUUUGGGAUAAGCCUCGGAAACGGGGUCUAAUACCGGAUAAUACCGAUUGCCUCAUGGUGGUUGGUUGAAAGUUCUGGCGGUUGGGGAUGGGCUCGCGGCCUAUCAGCUUGUUGGUGGGGUGAUGGCCUACCAAGGCUUCGACGGGUAGCCGGCCUGAGAGGGCGACCGGCCACACUGGGACUGAGACACGGCCCAGACUCCUACGGGAGGCAGCAGUGGGGAAUAUUGCGCAAUGGACGAAAGUCUGACGCAGCAACGCCGCGUGAGGGAUGACGGCCUUCGGGUUGUAAACCUCUUUCAGCAGGGACGAAGCGAGAGUGACGGUACCUGCAGAAGAAGGACCGGCCAACUACGUGCCAGCAGCCGCGGUAAUACGUAGGGUCCGAGCGUUGUCCGGAAUUAUUGGGCGUAAAGGGCUCGUAGGCGGUUCGUCGCGUCGGGAGUGAAAACUCGGAGCUUAACUCCGAGCCUGCUUCCGAUACGGGCGGACUGGAGGUAGGCAGGGGAGAGCGGAACUCCUGGUGUAGCGGUGGAAUGCGCAGAUAUCAGGAAGAACACCGGUGGCGAAGGCGGCUCUCUGGGCCUUACCUGACGCU
rnacentral:rRNA from 1 species